rnacentral:rRNA from 1 species
AGAGUUUGAUCCUGGCUCAGAAUGAACGUUGGCGGCGUGGAUUAGGCAUGCAAGUCGAACGAGAUCUGUAGCAAUACAGUGAAAGUGGCGAAAGGGAGAGUAAUACGUAGGUACCUGUCCUCGGGUCUGGGAUAGCUGCGGGAAACUGCAAUUAAUACCGGAUGACGUCUCUGGACCAAAGGUGUGAUUCCGCCAGGGGAUGGGCCUGCGUCCUAUCAGCUUGUUGGUGUGGUAACGGCGCACCAAGGCUAAGACGGGUACGGGGUGUGAGAGCAUGCCCCCGCUCACUGGGACUGAGAUACUGCCCAGACACCUACGGGUGGCUGCAGUCGAGAAUCUUCCGCAAUGGGCGCAAGCCUGACGGAGCGACGCCGCGUGUGGGAUGAAGGCCUUCGGGUUGUAAACCACUGUCAGUGGGGAGCAAAUGCAUCAGGGUUCUCCCUGGUGUUUGAGCGAUCCGCAGAGGAAGCACAGGCUAAUUCCGUGCCAGCAGCCGCGGUAAUACGGAAUGUGCAAACGUUAUUCGGAAUCACUGGGCUUAAAGAGUCCGUAGGCGGCCUGUUAGGUGAGGUGUGAAAUCCCUCGGCCCAACCGAGGAAUUGCGCUUCAAACCGGCAGGCUUGAGGAGGAUAGAGGUGGGCGGAACUGAUGGUGGAGCGGUGAAAUGCGUUGAUAUCCUAGGGAACACCGGUGGCGAAAGUGGCAUUCUGGAUCUCAUCUGACGCUGAUGCACGAAAGCUAGGGUAGCAAACGGGAUUAGAUACCCCGGUAGUCCUAGCCGUAAACGAUGAGCACUGGAUUGAAGGCCCCUCCAUAGGCUUUCAGUCGCAGAGAAAUUGUUUAGUGCUCCGCCUGGGGAGUAUGGUCGCAAGGCUGAAACUCAAAGGAAUUGACGG